UGGGGAAUUUUGGACAAUGGGGGAAACCCUGAUCCAGCCAUCCCGCGUGUGCGAUGAAGGCCUUCGGGUUGUAAAGCACUUUUGGCAGGAAAGAAACGUCAUGGGUUAAUACCCCGUGAAACUGACGGUACCUGCAGAAUAAGCACCGGCUAACUACGUGCCAGCAGCCGCGGUAAUACGUAGGGUGCAAGCGUUAAUCGGAAUUACUGGGCGUAAAGCGUGCGCUGGCGGUUCGGAAAGAAAGAUGUGAAAUCCCAGAGCUCAACUUUGGAACUGCAUUUUUAACUACCGGGCUAGAGUGUGUCAGAGGGAGGUGGAAUUCCGCGUGUAGCAGUGAAAUGCGUAGAUAUGCGGAGGAACACCGAUGGCGAAGGCAGCCUCCUGGGAUAACACUGACGCUCAUGCACGAAAGCGUGGGGAGCAAACAGG
rnacentral:rRNA from 1 species